GUUAGGAAUAUUGGACAAUGGGCGAAAGCCUGAUCCAGCCAUGCCGCGUGAACGAUGAAGGCCUUCGGGUUGUAAAGUUCUUUAGCCGAUGAUUAUAAUGACUGUAGUCGGAAAAUAAGCCCCGGCUAACUUCGUGCCAGCAGCCGCGGUAAUACGAAGGGGGCGAGCGUUAUUCGGAAUCACUGGGCGUAAAGCGUGCGUAGGCGGUUUUGUAAGUUAGGAGUGAAAGACCAGGGCUCAACCUUGGAAUUGCUCUUAAAACUGCAAGGCUCGAAUCUCGGAGAGGAUAGCGGAAUUUCCAGUGUAGCAGUGAAAUGCGUAGAUAUUGGAAGGAACACCAGUGGCGUAAGCGGCUAUCUGGACGAGUAUUGACGCUGAGGCACGAAAGCGUGGGGAUCAAACAGGAUUAGAUACCCUAGUAGUCC
rnacentral:rRNA from 1 species